CAGAAUGCCACCAAGAACGCAAGAUGCUUAGGCACAAGCUCACCGCUGGCACACACUAUCUCUCGCACAAAAACGAGAAGUGCUAGAUGUCCUAGGCAUAAGAUCGCUGCAGGCACACAAUGCCACUUAUAAGGACUAACUUAUCAACUCUCGAGAAGAUCUCGAUGACUCCGAGAUGGGGCUAACUUACCAAAUCCCUACAAAGUCCGAGUCGCACGAGAAAUGGAGGAAG
rnacentral:lncRNA from 1 species